UGCAAGUUGUGUGGUCCGUGA
rnacentral:siRNA from 1 species